GCACGAGUAGGUGGGUCGUUGGGUGAUUAAUAGGAUGACUAUACGUCGAACAGCUUUUCUGCCUCGCUAGGCCCGGCGGCCAUUCAUCGUUUCUCGUGGCAGCUGGGUUUGCGACGGAUCGCCAUGGAUGGGGUGGAGUUUUUCUUCGAGGAAGCCGAAUUAGGGUAAACUACAUCCGAUCUUUCAAUUUAGACUAGUUUGUUCUUGAGCUGGGAACAAGUUGUGCCUGUAUAGCAUGUUUCCUACGGUAGCUAUCGUUUUUGGUUCCACUGCCCCAUCGUGUUAGAUUUGAAAAGGAUGACUUCCUGUGGUUUGUUGCAGAUUGGUUCCCAGGGUGGAUGCCAGUGAUCUUUUAGGGGGAGAUAUCGCUGCUGUGGAAUCGGUCGUUGCUUCAACCCAAGCAAGAUUUUCAAGAUUGAUUUUCAGUACUGCCGAUGCUCGAAAUUCAGUUUGCUAGCUUAAUAAUCAGCUGUUUGUCAAAUGGAAGAUUUUCCGAACUGCUUGUGCCUGCGUAGUUGUGAGCUUGUUUCUAUGUUUGUGUUCGCUCGUUCAUCACUUGUUUAAAAAAAUCGUGUAAUGCACUGACUUUGUCAUGGUGCUCUGUUCAAGAGUGUGAGUUAACUGUAUCAGCGAUUGGAAUUCUGCUGUUGCUGUUUCUUGGUUAUAUCUUCAUGGGCGUAGCCUGAUGUUUG
rnacentral:lncRNA from 1 species